rnacentral:rRNA from 1 species
GAUGAACGCUGGCUACAGGCUUAACACAUGCAAGUCGAGGGGAAACGACGGGGAAGCUUGCUUCCCCGGGCGUCGACCGGCGCACGGGUGAGUAACGCGUAUCCAACCUGCCUCUGACUGAGGGAUAACCCGUCGAAAGUCGGCCUAAUACCUCAUGGCAUCGUCUGCGGGCAUCCAACGACGAUUAAAGAUUUCAUCGGUCAGAGAUGGGGAUGCGUCUGAUUAGCUUGUUGGCGGGGUAACGGCCCACCAAGGCGACGAUCAGUAGGGGUUCUGAGAGGAAGGUCCCCCACAUUGGAACUGAGACACGGUCCAAACUCCUACGGGAGGCAGCAGUGAGGAAGAUUGGUCAAUGGGCGAGAGCCUGAACCAGCCAAGUAGCGUGCAGGAGGACGGCCCUAGGGGUUGUAAACUGCUUUUAUGCGGGGAUAAAGUGAGGGACGUGUCCUUCAUUGCAGGUACCGCAUGAAUAAGGACCGGCUAAUUCCGUG